rnacentral:lncRNA from 13 species
AUUCAGUAUAGUAACAUGCUGUACAGGUUUGUAACCUAGGUGUAUAGUAGGUACACCAUCUAAGUUUGUAUAAGUACACAUUAUGAUGUUUCCACAAUGACAAAAUCACCUAAGGACAUAUUUCUCAGAAUGAAUCUCCAUUGUUAACUGUCACAUGACUGUAUAUUAUCUAUAUCUUACAGAGGAAGACACUCGGAGGUAAAGCAAGGCCCACACCCCCACAAUCUCAAGGUGUAGAGUAAAAAAGAUUUGCACUGAGGUCACUUGGGCUCUCGGGCCCACGAUCUCUGCAUCUCUGCCAGGGCUUCCUGUGGAUCAAGCACGUCACUGUGAAAAACAUCCAGGCAAGUGGAUAGCAUUUGCAUCAGCCCAGCAAUAAGAAGGACCAUACUCUACUUGGGAAAAGCCUGCCAGGAAACCUGUCAUUCAACCCUUCACAGUAUAACAGCCCCUCAUGAAUGAAGCAAAAUAAAUCAGAGGUCGUGGGCUUUUAAACUCA